rnacentral:rRNA from 1 species
GAUGAACGCUGGCGGCGUGCCUAAUACAUGCAAGUCGAGCGAACGGACGAGAAGCUUGCUUCUCUGAUGUUAGCGGCGGACGGGUGAGUAACACGUGGAUAACCUACCUAUAAGACUGGGAUAACUUCGGGAAACCGGAGCUAAUACCGGAUAAUAUUUUGAACCGCAUGGUUCAAAAGUGAAAGACGGUCUUGCUGUCACUUAUAGAUGGAUCCGCGCUGCAUUAGCUAGUUGGUAAGGUAACGGCUUACCAAGGCAACGAUUCAUAGCCGACCUGAGAGGGUGAUCGGCCACACUGGAACUGAGACACGGUCCAGACUCCUACGGGAGGCAGCAGUAGGGAAUCUUCCGCAAUGGGCGAAAGCCUGACGGAGCAACGCCGCGUGAGUGAUGAAGGUCUUCGGAUCGUAAAACUCUGUUAUUAGGGAAGAACAUAUGUGUAAGUAACUGUGCACAUCUUGACGGUACCUAAUCAGAAAGCCACGGCUAACUACGUG